GACGAACGCUGGCGGCGUGCUUAACACAUGCAAGUCGAGCGGUAAGGCCCUUUCGGGGGUACACGAGCGGCGAACGGGUGAGUAACACGUGGGUGACCUGCCCUCAGCUCUGGGAUAAGCCUGGGAAACUGGGUCUAAUACUGGAUAUGACUCCACGGUGCAUGUCGUGGGGUGGAAAGCCUUGUGCGGCUGAGGAUGGGCCCGCGGCCUAUCAGCUUGUUGGUGGGGNGAUGGCCUACCAAGGCGACGACGGGUAGCCGGCCUGAGAGGGCGACCGGCCACACUGGGACUGAGACACGGCCCAGACUCCUACGGGAGGCAGCAGUGGGGAAUAUUGGACAAUGGGGAAACCCUGAUCCAGCCAUGCCGCGUGAGUGAUGAAGGCCCGUAGGGUUGUAAAGCUCGUUUUCGGCGGGACGAUAAUGACGGUACCCGCAGAAGAAGCCCGGCUAACUUCGUGCCAGCAGCAGCCGCCGUAA
rnacentral:rRNA from 1 species